CACUAAGAAGCUAUAGGACUAAGCAACAGCCUUUUAAGCUGUAGAUGGGUGACCUCCAACCACCCUUAGUGA
rnacentral:tRNA from 1 species